rnacentral:rRNA from 1 species
GAUGAACGCUGGCGGCGUGCCUAAUACAUGCAAGUCGAGCGAACAGACGAGGAGCUUGCUCCUCUGACGUUAGCGGCGGACGGGUGAGUAACACGUGGAUAACCUACCUAUAAGACUGGGAUAACUUCGGGAAACCGGAGCUAAUACCGGAUAACAUGUUGAACCGCAUGGUUCAACAGUGAAAGACGGUCUUGCUGUCACUUAUAGAUGGAUCCGCGCCGCAUUAGCUAGUUGGUAAGGUAACGGCUUACCAAGGCAACGAUGCGUAGCCGACCUGAGAGGGUGAUCGGCCACACUGGAACUGAGACACGGUCCAGACUCCUACGGGAGGGAGCAGUAGGGAAUUUUCCGCAAUGGGCGAAAGCCUGACGGAGCAACGCCGCGUGAGUGAAGGAGGUCUUCGGAUCGUAAAACUCUGUUAUUAGGGAAGAACAAAUGUGUAAGUAACUAUGCACGUCUUGACGGUACCUAAUCAGAAAGCCACGGCUAACUACGUG